AGCGAACGCUGGCGGCAGGCCUAACACAUGCAAGUCGAACGAACCUUUCGGGGUUAGUGGCGGACGGGUGAGUAACACGUGGGAACGUGCCUUUAGGUUCGGAAUAACUCAGGGAAACUUGUGCUAAUACCGAAUGUGCCCUUCGGGGGAAAGAUUAAUCGCCUUUAGAUCGGCCCGCGUCCGAUUAGCUAGUUGGGUGAGGGUAUGGCUCACCAAGGCGACGAUCAGUAGCUGGUCUGAGAGGAUGAUCAGCCACAUUGGGACUGAGACACGGCCCAAACUCCUACGCGAGGCAGCAGUGGGGAAUCUUGCGCAAUGGGCGAAAGCAUGACGCAGCCAUGCCGCGUGAAUGAUGAAGGUCUUAGGAUUGUAAAAUUCUUUCACCGGGGACGAUAAUGACGGUACCCGGAGAAGAAGCCCCGGCUAACUUCGUG
rnacentral:rRNA from 1 species